rnacentral:rRNA from 1 species
CUCCGCUGGCGACCGGCGCACGGGUGCGUAACGCGUAUGCAACCUACCUUUAACAGGGGCAUAACACUGAGAAAUUGGUACUAAUUCCCCAUAACAUUCGAGAAGGCAUCUUCUUGGGUUAAAAACUCCGGUGGUUAAAGAUGGGCAUGCGUUGUAUUAGCUAGUUGGUGAGGUAACGGCUCACCAAGGCAACGAUACAUAGGGGGACUGAGAGGUUAACCCCCCACAUUGGUACUGAGACACGGACCAA